GCAAAUUACCCACUCCCGGCACGGGGAGGUAGUGACAAAAAUAACGAUACGGGACUCAUCCGAGGCCCCGUAAUCGGAAUGAGCACACUUUAAAUCCUUUAACGAGUAUCCAUUGGAGGGCAAGUCUGGUGCCAGCAGCCGCGGUAAUUCCAGCUCCAAUAGCGUAUAUUAAAGUUGUUGCGGUUAAAAAGCUCGUAGUCGGACUUGUGUCACACGCUGCCGGUUCACCGCCCGUCGGUGUCUAACUGGCAUGCACGUGCUGACGUCCUGCCGGUGGCCCGAGCCGGCCCGGGAGUCUGGGUGCGGGAUUCCCUUCGGGGGCCCGCCUCGAACCCGGUGUCCGGGGAGGGCCUACUCAUACCCCUCGCGGUGCUCUUAACCGAGUGUCUCGAUGGGCCGGCACGUUUACUUUGAACAAAUUAGAGUGCUUAAAGCAGGCAGCAUCCGCCUGAAUACUGAGUGCAUGGAAUAAUGGAAUAGGACCUCGGUUCUAUUUUGUUGGUUUUCGGAAUCCCCGAGGUAAUGAUCAAUAGGGACAGACGGGGGCAUUCGUAUUGCGACGUUAGAGGUGAAAUUCUUGGAUCGUCGCAAGACGGACCGAAGCGAAAGCAUUUGCCAAGAAUGUUUUCUCUGAUCAAGAACGAAAGUUAGAGGUUCGAAGGCGAUCAGAUACCGCCCUAGUUCUAACCAUAAACGAUGCCAGCCAGCAAUCCGCCGAAGUUCCUCCGAUGACUCGGCGGGCGGCUUCCGGGAAACCAAAGCUUUUGGGUUCCGGGGGAAGUAUGGUUGCAAAGCUGAAACUUAAAGGAAUUGACGGAAGGGCACCACCAGGAGUGGAGCCUGCGGCUUAAUUUGACUCAACACGGGAAACCUCACCAGGCCCGGACACCGGGAGGAUUGACAGAUUGAGAGCUCUUUCUUGAUUCGGUGGGUGGUGGUGCAUGGCCGUUCUUAGUUGGU
rnacentral:rRNA from 1 species